rnacentral:misc_RNA from 1 species
UCUCCGUUGGUGAACCAGCGGAGGGAUCAUUACAGAGUUGCAAAACUCCCAAACCAUUGUGAACGUUACCUAUCCCGUUGCUUCGGCGGGCGGCCCGGGCCCCGCGCCCGGCGCCCCCCGGCCCCCCGUGGGCGCCCGCCGGAGGUAAACCAAACCCUUGAAUUGCAUGGCCUCUCUGAGUCUUCUGUACUGAAUAAGUCAAAACUUUCAACAACGGAUCUCUUGGUUCUGCAUCGAUGAAGACGCAGC